GUUUGCCUCUCUCCUGUGCCUCCAGCCUGGAAAGUCGAAGCUUCUGGUGUCAACACGUGUCCCACCUUGCCAAAACACAUCGUUUCAUUUAAGUUAUUCUAUGUACAGGUGGGCUUCGUGUUCUUUAUGGGCCUUAUUUCUUGCACAACUGACCCAGCCCGUGCUGAUACCUCUAAGUGAAAACACGGCGUUUUAAUAUUAGGGUUGAACCAGUUUUUAUCUUCGUCGUUCUUGAUUGAGUAACAACCUCGAAUUUGAUAGCGUUCUUCCAUCUUCUUGCUGACGAUCCCAAGCUACCUGUUACAGAUUCAUCCUUGAUUUGAAGGUUGGGCGUUAUUCUUCCACAGUCUGGGUCUGACUUUUAAAGUUCCGGGAAGAGAGAACGUGAUACGCGGUGGUGAGAGCAUAUAGGUGUGGACAUGCUUCUCCUCGGCGCUAAGGUUAUUCCGUUCUUUAUACUCAUGAUCAUCGGAGUUUUUAAACAAAAUCCAGUGUCUAAUCUCAGAAUUUUCAUACUUUUGUUUCCAAAUCUUUAUUUUAACUUCCUGCAGUGAAGUGGUUGAGGACUGUAAUAGUAGUGCACAAGCCGCAGGGUUGCUUCUCAGAGUAACUAUAAGCUUUGGCAAUGAGUGUAGUUUUGACUUUACUAACGUUUCAUGUUAUUUUCUGAGUCUUCUUGGAUUUGGUUUUGUUUGCUUUACGAAAGAUCAUUGUGCAGGCUAAAAGGGAGAAUGAAAGAUUGUUUGCUUUGAGUUGAAACUUCUAAGUUAACUCUAAUCUUAUUCUUUUAGGCAACUGGUGCUAUGGCUCAAAUUCUGCGCAGAAGAUAGCGUCUCAAGAACCAAGUGAUUAUACAAAUAUGUCCCAUGUGACUGGUUAGACAGAUUCCAUUUCCAUUUAUUCAAAUAACUUGAAACAAACUGUAGUCUCAGAUGUGAGGUUAACUCUGAAGAUGAGGAAAUCACCAUGGAUAGGUUUCAGAAUGAGUUGGAGAAAUCAAACGCCACUGGGUUGAAUGAUCAAAAGGCCAACAGUGAAGCUGAUGAAAAGGCCAACAUUGAAGCUGGUGAAUCUGAGGCAGAUGACAAAGAUAAAUCUGACUCUUAACUCUGAUGUGUUUUAGAUGGGUUCAGAUGACGAUGAGGAUGACUCGGAAAAAGAAGAGGAAACACCUUAAAGGAAUAAAGAGUGGAACCACUGAGCAAGAGACCCAAUGGUGGAGCAAUAAACAACAACAACACAAAUGUGUCAAAGAAUCCAAAGAUGCAAGUCAGCAUAAGCCGUUAGGAGGGAAUACAUGCACAAGUGCGGCGGUGUUUGUCCUCCAAAAAGAAACCAGAGAACGAGCCAAGUCACAUUUUUCAUAAAAAGUUUUAAUACUUUUUUCCUAUUGGUGAAUGGUUGAGUGGGUGAGUGAGGAUUUGAGUUUAAUAGGCUAAAUAUCUAGGAUUCAAUAUUUAUUUUAACUGCAUUGAGUUAUCGAGGGAUGUGGUUUACAGUUUUUUGAAAGUAUGGUUUUUUAUUGAUUUUUAUUUAACGUUUCACUUUAAAUAAAAUAUUUUAUUAGAUUAAGAA